CUUGUAGGCGGUUUGUCGCGUCUGCUAUGAAAAUCCGGGGCUCAACCCCGGACUUGCAGUGGGUACGGGCAGGCUAGAGUGUGGUAGGGGAGACUGGAAUUCCUGGUGUAGCGGUGGAAUGCGCAGAUAUCAGGAGGAACACCGAUGGCGAAGGCAGGUCUCUGGGCCACUACUGACGCUGAGAAGCGAAAGCAUGGGGAGCGAACA
rnacentral:rRNA from 1 species